UCUUUGUAGGUAUUUCUGACCUAGG
rnacentral:piRNA from 1 species